rnacentral:rRNA from 1 species
UGGAGCAAUCCAUGAGUACAGUGGCGCACGGGUGAGUAACACGUGACUAACCUACCCUUGAGUGGGGAAUAACUUCGGGAAACCGAGGCUAAUACCGCAUAACACCUACGGGUCAAAGGAGCAAUUCGCUCGAGGAGGGGGUCGCGGCCGAUUAGUUAGUUGGCGGGGUAAUGGCCCACCAAGACGAUGAUCGGUAUCCGGCCUGAGAGGGCGCACGGACACACUGGAACUGAAACACGGUCCAGACUCCUACGGGAGGCAGCAGUGGGGAAUUUUGCGCAAUGGGGGAAACCCUGACGCAGCAACGCCGCGUGGAGGAUGAAGUCCUUCGGGACGUAAACUCCUUUCGAUCGGGACGAUAAUGACGGUACCGAGAGAAGAAGCCCCGGCUAACUUCGUGCCAGCAGCCGCGGUAAUACGAGGGGGGCGAGCGUUGUUCGGAAUUAUUGGGCGUAAAGGGUGCGUAGGCGGUUUGGUAAGUCUUAUGUGAAAUCUAUGGGCUCAACUCAUAGUCUGCAUGAGAAACUGCCGGGCUUGAGUGUGGGAGAGGUGAGUGGAAUUUCCGGUGUAGCGGUGAAAUGCGUAGAUAUCGGAAGGAACACCUGUGGCGAAAGCGGCUCACUGGACCACAACUGACGCUGAUGCACGAAAGCUAGGGGAGCAAACAGGAUUAGAUACCCUGGUAGUCCUAGCCCUAAACGAUGACUGCUUGGUGUGACGGGUACCCAAUCCCGCCGUGCCGUAGCUAACGCGUUAAGCAGUCCGCCUGGGGAGUACGGUCGCAAGGCUGAAACUC